AAGAGUUCAGCACGGACUAGGAGGGCCGAGAUGGCCUGUUUCCGUGCUGUGAUUGUUAUAUGGUUAAUAAUGUGGAUAGGGUGAGGCCAUUAGCACAUUGUGCAUGUUACUUUAAAGAUUUAUGAUCCUCUGAGAGAAAUUCUCUCUUACUCCUACCUUAAGUUAAUGAUUCAUUACUCUGAAGCUAUGGCCCCAUGUUCUAAACUCUUCCCUGAGGGACAAACAUCUUCUCGACACUAAUUUUAUCAAGCCUGCUCAGAGCCUUAUGUUCCAAUGCGAUCUCUUCCAACCUCCAUUGACUACAAAUGUAAUCUAAGCUUAAUUGCAGAAAGAGAAAAACAAUCAACUUUUCAGUUCUUUGCCCUUUCAAGUUUCAAGUUCGUUUAUUGUCAUUCAAAUAUAGACGUGUUUAAAGCCAAGCUAAACAAAGUUCCACCAGUCCAAAGUACAGUGAGUCACAGACCCUAGACUGUUUUUCUUUCCACGUACGGUAUGCUACCGAUUCUGUCUCAACACUUUUGAUGGCCUGGUUCUAUAUCCAUAAGUAAACCCAAAACACUCUGUCAAAAUACUCAACUUUCCCUUCUGCUACAGUUUGCCUUCUUACUCAUUAGAACAUUUUACAAUUCCAACCAGGCCAGUUAAUGUUGCCAGCACCAUUUAACUGUACAGCAGGCCCAAAACCUCCAGGAUUAUUAUCAAAAGUGAUGAAGAAAUGUCAAGGUUUCUACAGAUGGGAAUUUGUAAGAGAUAUUUUCUCAAUAUCAAUGAUGUCUUUGUUUUACUCUUGUGAAGUUUACCUGCCACUUGUCAUUCCACUUUUUGCUGGUGUUUUUGGCCCAACUGAGUGAUUGCCGUCUCUGAGGGAGUUUGGUGUGGCUUCAAGCGAAGUUUGUGGCCUGGAGGCCGAGAAGCCUGGAGGCAGGGGGGGGUGAGCCCAUGUUUGACUCCAUUUCUCACCGAUCUCACAAGGAAGACCGAGAUCACUGAGGUGAGAGCAGAAGGUGAGCAGACGCACAGUGGCGCCUACCAGACCGUUGCUCAUUGCUGCCGGAGGAAGGUGUCAAUGCGUGACAGUCAGUCUCUGCCCCCCACCCCCCCGGAGGAGGUCCCUGCGUUCAAAGGAUCUCGCUCGAUGGUGCCAGAGUCCUGGGUGUUGGGCAAGGUGUAAUUGAAGCAAUUUGUGGACUAGACUCUGUAGUUCAUGUUACAACAUGUUUCUGGUUUUUGGUUGAUUCUUUUCUCAUUGAUAUUUUGAUCAGGGCAGCGUGUAGAAAAUGAACAAUAUAGCGUGAGGUUGAACUGAAUGGAGCUGUAUGUGCCUGGACUCUUUUAAUGACUCUGUGGGUUGGUUUUAUGUGUUAUAUUAUGUGUUUUUCGCUCAUAUUUUCUGCCACUUGUGCAAUUUGGGGUUUUUUUUUGCAUGCUGGGGGUUUGCUGUUUUCUUUUGAAUGGGUUCCAUGGUUUUCUUUGUUUUGUGGCUGUCUGUGGGAAGUUAAAUUUCAGAGUAGCAUACUGCACAUAUAUAGAACAUAGACCAAUACAGCACAGGAACAGGCCCUUCACCCCACAAUGUUGUGCCAAGUUAGUUAAAUUAGUAAUCAAAUGACCGACUAAACCAGUGUUUCCCAAUCUUUUUUUAAAGCCCAACCCUCCCAAGCACUUUCAAAUUUGCCAACGCCCCUCACAGUAUACUUUCCGCCACUCCCAUUGUGUAAAAGAAAUGUCUACCAUAUGCUAACAUGAGACAGUAAUUCUACUUUAGAAUCUUUUGUCUUUAAACCUAGCUUACACAGCACUCGUGUGCUGUAGAGCAGCUUCGGUAUCUAUAUGAUCCUUGAGCUUGAUAGCAAGAGUUGGAAUAACUGGUUCACGUUGUGAUAGCAAAAGUCUCCGUGCGUAACAAUGUCCAAGUGGUUUUUGUUUUUUGUGAGUAUGUGGUUCACUGCACCGAAGCCUCUUUCAAUAAGAGUAGGAGGAUGGAAAUGCUCUGAAGAGCAGUUUGGCUCUUCUCCAAAGACCAGGAAACUUCGUAUGACUGUGGAGCCACAUGGCACAAAGAUUGACAUUUUCAAAAAGCAUUCUUGCUGCUUCAUCAUUCCGAAUUUCAAUAAUUUUUUAAUAUACUUUAAUAAUAAAUAUACUUUGAAUCUUGAAACAUUCCAAGCCUGGACUUCAGGUCCAGAUGCGGAUACUUUAUAUCAAUAGAGUAGUGAAUGGAUAUGGCAAUGUGCAAUGGUCACAUCAGUCCGUAUCCCAUCUACGUCGUGUGAUAUUUGUAGGCAUUUGAAGAUUGCUGGUCAAAUAAACCUGCUGGAUCUUUUUGAGUUUUGUGCUUUUCUCCCCCUUAAUUUGAAAUCAUUCUGCAUUGACGAAGUUAGUUUUAAGGUGCAAGAGAGGAUGGAUAAGAUAUAGGAGAAGAUGCAGGCCAUUCAGCCCAUCGAGUCUGCUCCACCAUUCAAUCAUGGGUUGAGGGACAAACUGAAUAGCUCUGAAAGGGUGAGGCCAAGGCUGAGUGGGUAUAAGUGGAAGGUGGAAUAUUCCUGUUGAUGGGUGACACUGUGCAUUAAUCUAAUUAACCACGACCUCAGUGUUCACAAUCAAGUUUGUUUAAUUCUCAAAGUAACUUACUUGGUUGAUUUCAUUUAUGGAAGUUGAUGUGUAAUUAUCCUGUCACUGAAUGAACUCAAUUAAUUUACUACAAACAGUUACAAGUUCUCCAGCACAGCCCUUUGAACUCAAUAUGCUUUGCCUAAGGAUGGAGUUGGACUUCCAUUAUUCUCGACUGGAUAUGGAAGGACUCUACAUCAAUUCCUUUAUGGUGUAUUCCUUGCUUCCUUGCUAACUCUUUCUAAAGCCUGCAGCUCUGAAAGUUUGGCAUGUAAAUCAACCAAUGCAGUAACAGUUUUAAUACUCUGAAGUCGACCUAAGCUGUCCUUAGUCAUUCAUGAAAGAUUGUGUCCAGUGUGGGGCAUGCCUUAUUCUGAUUGUUGAAAGUCACUUCUGCUGUGAUUGGUUAGUUUAGAAACUGCAGCUGCUUCUUCCAUUGGAUAGGUGCCUGGUGUCCAGUUUCAAAUAUCCUGGGUAUAUAGAAUAGCACAUGGAAGGGGCUUACUCUCUGCAUCCUUUGAUUAAGACAUGACUAUUGGAAAGGUGUGCUCUGUGCAUACUUUUAACUAAGUAUGUUUGUUGAAUAUUCAGUAUUUUACUUUAUAGUGCCUGUAACUUGGGGAACAUGAAUGUUUGGUUAAAUUUUUACUGUCUGUAAAUAAAUGAUUAAUAUACCUACUUGCAGAAAGUGCUUUCUGUUUCACUUGCCAGACCCAUGAACCUGAUUGGAUGUUACAGAUGGCAAAAAUAUUUUCACACAAUGCACUGUCCAUCAGUACAAUGGAUUUAUUACAUAGAAAAUAAGGCAGCAAUAAAAUACAAUCACAUGCCAUAAAUAGAACCGAGUUGGUCAAAUCUCUGUUUGGUGUUCAUUUUUGCUGGUGUUCAUUGAGAGAAAAAUGCUAGCAGGUCUGCUAGGGACUUUUAGUGACAAGCUGUGCUAAUGGGGGUUUCCCUGUUUAACAUCUCACCUGGAAGGAAAAGCUGAGAGACUACACCAGGUAGGUUGUACUUUUAGUAAGAGUGCAUUAGAUGAACAAUAUCUAACACAUAUUUUCCAUUUCAGACCACAAGAUUAGAAAGCUUUCUGUACGUAGAAGGAAGAGCAAAAGUUAGGCAGUUCUGUCCCAGGUGUCAGAAAUACUGUUAAUUGUUUAUAAUCACUGAAGGAAGAAUAGGGCAGAAAGAUGUGGAUAAAAUUAUGCACAGUCUUAUUAAAUCAAAAUCAAUCAAUUCAACCAUACAUGUAUACAGCUGAAUGAAACAAAGUGCAAAACAUUCACAGCACAUUCAGCGAGCAAAAGGAAAAAAUAGUCAUGCAAAGAAACACGUGGCCAAUACCCCGAGUAACAUGUCCCCCAAAAUGAUAGUACAGUUCGCGGCAGUGCACAGACGUAUGCAAUCCAGCUUGUUAUUCCGCCGAACGAACACUGGAGGGCAGCACUGACAGGAGAGGCCGGCCUCCGACCCAGCACGGACACCACGCUGCACCGCCUCUGGCAUCUCCGCUCCUGGGCUGCAACGGUAGGCAAGGCCGCAGCUUGAAGCCUGGUCCUCACUACAACCGAGGCAACACAGUUUCCCUACUGCCCGUCAACCCACCAAACUAAGGAAGCAGGCCUGUGCCAUCUUACACUAUCAUUGUCCAACAGGAUCUUGCAAUCACAAGAGAACCCUCCAAGACCUGAAGUUACACUGCAUGCCGCUUCACACACCAAUUCCAUUGCCUUCGUGCAGCAGGCAGCUCCUCUGAAACUAAUCUGGCUCCUCUGACAUGCCAGCUAGUCUCAAAGACCAUGGGAAUAUCCUUUAUGGAAUUCAAUAUUUCAUUUCAUGGAUAUUUCAAGCUUACACUUCUUGGUCUUUACCUAUUACAGCCCUAAAGUGAUAGAGUUCCUGUUGUCCUUACAUACCACCCCACGAGCAUUCACAUCCAACACAUAAUCCUCUGCAACUUCUGCUAUCUCUAAAGGGAUCCUACCACUAAACAUAUCUUUAACCCACCCCACCACCACCACUCUGUUUUCUGCCUCCAUGAUUCCCUUGUCCAUUUGUCCCUCCCCACUAAUCUCCCAUCCAGCCUUUGUCCUUGCAAACGGCUGAAGUGCUACAACCUGCCGUUUUACCUCAACCAGUUUCCAGAGACAACCAAAGCAGUUCAGUUCUUCAGCAUGCUCUUUGUGUAUUGCUGUGGCAACACAAAACCGUUGCAUGUUGGCUGACCCUCUGGGGCUCCCACACACUUGCUCAUAGUCUGCCAAAAGCCGCAUUUGCGUUUUUUUAAAUUUGUGUUGAUUUCUCCUUUGAUAUGAAUAGUACAGCAGAGUGUACAGAUGAGACAGAUAAGGCUGGUCACUACCUAGAGAGUUCAGUCCUUGGCUAUAUUUAAUAGUUUCCUGCUGCUGACCAAUUUGCUACUCCAGCCUUGUGUUGAUUAUGAAAAUAUCGAAGUGUUAGACUCAGAAAUGGGUCUUAACAAAAUCAUCAAUAAACAUACAGAUCAUGAACAGUCAUUUCCCUUGGCCUUGUUCUAGUCUUUGUUGUCCUCAAUAAAAUCUUGGAAAUGUUUAGCAGAUCACGUAGCAUCCACAGAAAGAGAGAAAAAUAGGUUAUUGUUGUGGAUAGAUUACGAUAAAUCAGAAAAGGUCAUCUGUGAAGCAAAGUGGAUAAACUGAUUAUCUGAAAUUGCUGAGUUCAAUAUUCAGCUGCAACAUUAGGUCUGUUUUUCUCUGCACAGAUACUACUUAAAUAUUCUCUACAUUUUGUCUUUCAAUAUUAUGACAGUGUUUCACUCCUUAAAGUUCAUCGGGACAUUGUCCUAUAAGAAGGACAGUAUCAAAAUGUAGGUUAUGGUUGAGAAAUUCAUGUGAUGUACUUUUAAUGCAGCUACAUAAGUUAACAGUCUUUUAUUUAGCAAUUAAUUUAAUUAAUGUUACAAACUAAUUGGUUUAACACAAUAGUUGGUUCUGUUCGCUGAAGGUUUCCUAGAACUAGCAUAAGGAAAAGGAACCCGCGUAGAUCAUAUUACUCCUCAAGCCUCUUAUACCAAUCAUUAGGAUUAUGGCUAAUAUCUACUUCAGUGUCAUUUUCCAGCCUUAUAUCAUUACAGGCCUUUAAUGCUCAGAAAUAUAUCAAUCUUUGUUUUGAAUAAGUUCCAUGACUGAAGGUCCAUUGCUAUCCAGGAUAAAGGAUUCUCUAACUAAAGAAAUGUCUCCAUGUCUCAUUGCUAAACGCCCUGUUCCUUAUUGUUAAACUGUUUCCUUUGAUCCUAUGCUCCUCAGCAUCUUUGUCUUUCCUGCCUCUGGCCUGUCAAGGCCUUUGAGAAAUUUGUAAUAUUUGUAAUUUCAAAAUCAUCCCCUUUCAGUCUUCUAAACUCUAAUGAAUACAGCCUCGGUCUAUUUAAUUUCUUCUCAUACAGCAAACCCAUCUUCCCUGGAACCAAUGUAACAAACAUUUGCUACACUUCCUUGGUGGUAAGUAUCUCUGAUCAUAGACAGGAGGACUAAAUCAACUCACAAUGUUCCAGGUACAGAUUCACUGUGUCUCUAUACACUUGUUAAACACUUCCUUAUUUCUGCAACAAAAAUUCUCUCAUAAAAAAGGCUGCUGCUUUUGUAGCUGCUGUUGCUGUUUCCCUUCUGCACCUGCACAUUGGCUUGCAGUGACUUGUGUACAAGAACUGAUGCACCAUCAAUAACUCUCUCUGAGACAUAAGGCGAGAUAUCGACUUUUAUUGACUGGAAGAAGGAACAAGCAGUGGUUGACCACCAUACUACAUCCUGGAGACUGAGAGGCCGGGCUCAGGCCUCAACCGCCUUUAUCCAGGGGUCUGUGGGAGGAGCCACAGGAGCAGUCAGCAGGGGGGCGUGUCCAGACGGGUAUAUGCAGUUCACCACAUUCACCCCCCCUUUGUUUUAAAAAGAGUCCCCAUUGUGGUGAACUCUGUUGGAGGUGGAAGUUACAGAGAAGUAUAUGCCUUUCAGUUCCCUAUUCUCAUCAGACCCUUGAUUCUGUUUUGCA